AUGACUGUCUCAAAGAGGGACUCGGCGAAACUACAUUGCCGGUGAAGAUGCCGGCUAUCCGCAGCAAGACAAAAAGACCCCGUGGAGCUUUACUACAACUUGACGCUGGGUUAGGAGCUGGUUUGUGUAGGAUAGGUGGGAGACUGUGAAGCCCCGACGCUAGUCGGGGUGGAGUCAACGGUGAAAUACCACCCUGACUAUUUCUUAAUCCUAACCUCUAGCCAUUAUCUGGCAGGGGGACAGCGUUUGGUGGGUAGUUUAACUGGGGCGGUUGCCUCCCAAAAAGUAACGGAGGCGUUCAAAGGUUCCCUAGUCCCGGAUGGAAAUCGGGACGAUAGCGCAAUAGUAUAUGGGAGCUUAACUGCGAGACCUACAAGUCAAGCAGAUGCGAAAGCAGGAUAUAGUGAUCCGACGGUUGCACAUGGGUGCGCCGAAGCUCAACGAAUAAAAGUUACCCCGGGGAUAACAGGCUGAUCGCUUCCAAGAGUCCAUAUCGACGAAGCGGUUUGGCACCUCGAUGUCGGCUCGUCACAUCCUGGAGCUGGAGCAGGUUCCAAGGGUUCGGCUGUUCGCCGAUUAAAGUGGCACGCGAGCUGGGUUCAGAACGUUGACUGCGCUGUCUAUAAACUUGGCUAAAUGCUGGAAACUCUGAGUAUCUCUAUACUACUAUUGCCAAUAUGGUCUCUAUAUUUUAUAAUGAGAUCAAGAUUGGCAAAGUGAAAAUGUAUGAGUGCAGACAAUCAGCAGGAAAGACUAAGUUGGUAUGUUGCGGGAUAUGUUGAUGGAGAAGGUAGCUUUCAUGUGGCUAUCCAAAAAAGCCCGAAUGUGAAGCUUGGGUAUCAGGUGAUUCCCGAAUUUCAUGUCAGCCAGAACCAGGAACGGGCUUCGAUGUUGCGCGAGAUCCAGCAGUUGCUGGGUUGUGGCUACAUCAAGGAUAAUCACCGGACCAGCCUAACUGACAAAAGUCAGGUGCUGGUAGUUAGGGAUCGUCACGAUUUGCUGACUAAAGUAAUCCCGUUUUUUCGACACUAUCCCCUCUUGUCUUCCAAACAAACUGAUUUUCAAAAGUUUGCUGAAAUCGUCUCCGCUAUGCGAACCAACCACCAUCUUGAAAAGAAUGGCCUCAAGAAAAUUAUUAUUAAGGCCUUCUCGAUGAAUGGGGGAGGGAGGUAUCGCAAGCUAGACAAAGACAAAAUUCUUGCCAAUUUAGAAUCCUCAGAGACUAUAUGCCAAGUCCUGCCACACGGCAGGAAAGAUAUAGUCCGAACUGCAUAGCGAUAUGUAGAAUCCUACCGAAAGGUAUGGUCACCACAGAGCAACAUCAGUAUUGGAUGUGGUUUGCAAAGUAACAAAUUGUCGGUCUCUAUCUGCUGUGGACGAAGGAAAUUUGAGGGAAGUCGCUUCUAGUACGAGAGGACCGAAGCGAACGCACCUCUGGUGUACCGGCUGUUCUACCAAGAGCAUUGUCGGGUAGCUACGUGCGGAUGGGAUAAGCGCUGAAAGCAUCUAAGCGCGAAGCCCACCCCAAGAUAGAUUUCCAUCCCCCGCAAGGGGGGAGAAACUCCAAGGAGACCACUUGGUUGAUAGGCGACAGGUGUAAGCCCAGUAAUGGGUUCAGCCGAGUCGUACUAAUAAGUUAAUUACUUACAUCUA
rfam:Bacterium GW2011_GWB1_52_7 VF00_C0003, whole genome shotgun sequence.